rnacentral:rRNA from 1 species
UACGAAGGGGCUAGCGUUGCUCGGAAUCACUGGGCGUAAAGGGUGCGUAGGCGGGUCUUUAAGUCAGGGGUGAAAUCCCAGAGCUCAACUCUGGAACUGCCUUUGAUACUGGCGACCUAGAGUCCGGAAGAGGUUAGUGGAAUUCCCAGUAUAGAGGUGAAAUUCGUAGAUAUUGGGAAGAACACCAGUGGCGAAGGCGGCUAACUGGUCCGGUACUGACGCUGAGGUGCGAAAGCGUGGGGAGCAAACAGG